rnacentral:rRNA from 1 species
GACGAACGCUGGCGGCGUGCUUAACACAUGCAAGUCGAACGGAAAGGCCCUGCUUUUGUGGGGUGCUCGAGUGGCGAACGGGUGAGUAACACGUGAGUAACCUGCCCUUGACUUUGGGAUAACUUCAGGAAACUGGGGCUAAUACCGGAUAGGAGCUCCUGCUGCAUGGUGGGGGUUGGAAAGUUUCGGCGGUUGGGGAUGGACUCGCGGCUUAUCAGCUUGUUGGUGGGGUAGUGGCUUACCAAGGCUUUGACGGGUAGCCGGCCUGAGAGGGUGACCGGGCACAUUUGGAACUAGGUUACGGCCCGAAUCCUUCGGGAGGGAGGAGGGGGGAAUAUUGCACCAUGGGGCGAAGGCCUAUGCAGCAACGCCGGGGGCGGGAUGACGGCCUUUGGGGUGGAAACCCGUUUUGCCCGUGAAGAAGGGUGAGUGACGGUAAUGGGUAAAGAAGCACCGGCUAACUACGUG